rnacentral:rRNA from 1 species
UACAGAGGGUGCUAGCGUUGUUCGGAAUCAUUGGGCGUAAAGGGCGUGUAGGCGGUUUGUUAAGUCAUGUGUGAAAUCCCUCGGCUCAACCGGGGAACGACGCAUGAAACUGGCAAGCUAGAGUACCAAAGAGGGGGGUGGAAUUCCCGGUGUAGUGGUGAAAUGCGUAGAUAUCGGGAGGAACACCAGUGGCGAAAGCGGCUACCUGGCCCAUUCUUGACGCUGAGGCGCGAAAGCUAGGGGAGCAAACGGG